rnacentral:rRNA from 1 species
GACGAACGCUGGCGGCGUGCUUAACACAUGCAAGUCGAACGGUGAAGGGAUCAGCUUGCUGGUUCUGGAUGAGUGGCGAACGGGUGAGUAACACGUGAGUAACCUGCCCCCUUCUUCUGGAUAACCGCAUGAAAGUGUGGCUAAUGCGGGAUAUUCUGGGUCUGUCGCAUGAUGGGUCUGGGAAAGAUAUUGUUUCGGUGGGGGAUGGGCUCGCGGCCUAUCAGCUUGUUGGUGGGGUGAUGGCCUACCAAGGCGGUGACGGGUAGCCGGCCUGAGAGGGGGGACGGUCACACUGGGACUGGGACACGGCCCAGACUCCUACGGGAGGCAGCAGUGGGGAAUAUUGCACAAGGGGCGCAAGCCUGAUGCAGCGACGCCGCGUGAGGGAUGGAGGCCUUCGGGUUGUAAGCCUCUUUCGCCAGUGAAGCAGGCCUGCUCCUUGUGGGUGGGUUGACGGUAGCUGGAUAAGAAGCGCCGGCUAACUACGUG